ACGAACACUGGCGGCGUGCUUAACACAUGCAAGUCGAACGGAAAGGCCCUGCUUUUGUGGGGUGCUCGAGUGGCGAACGGGUGAGUAACACGUGAGUAACCUGCCCUUGACUUUGGGAUAACUUCAGGAAACUGGGGCUAUUACCGGAUAGGAGCUCCUGCUGCAUGGUGGGGGUUGGAAAGUUUCGGCGGUUGGGGAUGGACUCGCGGCUUAUCAGCUUGUUGGUGGGGUAGUGGCUUACCAAGGCUUUGACGGGUAGCCGGCCUGAGAGGGUGACCGGCCACAUUGGGACUGAGAUACGGCCCAGACUCCUACGGGAGGCAGCAGUGGGGAAUAUUGCACAAUGGGCGGAAGCCUGAUGCAGCAACGCCGCGUGCGGGAUGACGGCCUUCGGGUUGUAAACCGCUUUCGCCUGUGACGAAGCGUGAGUGACGGUAAUGGGUAAAGAAGCACCGGCUAACUACGUG
rnacentral:rRNA from 1 species